rnacentral:misc_RNA from 1 species
AACGCACAUUGCGCCCGCCAGUAUUCUGGCGGGCAUGCCUGUCCGAGCGUCAUUUCAACCCUCAGGUCCCUCCCGCCAAGGGAGCGCGCCUGGCGUUGGGGAUCGGCCCCGCCCUGGCGGCGGCCGGCCCCGAAAACCAGUGGCGGUCACGCCGCGGCUUCCUCUGCGUAGUAGCCUACACCUCGCACCGGGACGCGGCGCGGCCACGCCGUAAAGCAGGACGCCACGUCCGCUCUUCUCAAGGUUGACCUCGGAUCAGGUAGGAAUACCCGCUGAACUUAA